UGGGGAAUAUUGGACAAUGGACCGAGAGUCUGAUCCAGCAAUUCUGUGUGCACGAUGAAGUUUUUCGGAAUGUAAAGUGCUUUCAGUUGGGAAGAAAAAAAUGACGGUACCAACAGAAGAAGUGACGGCUAAAUACGUGCCAGCAGCCGCGGUAAUACGUAUGUCACAAGCGUUAUCCGGAUUUAUUGGGCGUAAAGCGCGUCUAGGUGGUUAUGUAAGUCUGAUGUGAAAAUGCAGGGCUCAACUCUGUAUUGCGUUGGAAACUGUAUAACUAGAGUACUGGAAAGGUAAGCGGAACUACAAGUGUAGAGGUGAAAUUCGUAGAUAUUUGUAGGAAUGCCGAUGGGGAAGCCAGCUUACUGGACAGAUACUGACGCUAAAGCGCGAAAGCGUGGGUAGCAAACAGGAUUAGAUACCCUGGUAGUCCACGCUGUAAACGAUGAUUACUAGGUGUUGGGGGUCGAACCUCAGCGCCCAAGCAAACGCGAUAAGUAAUCCGCCUGGGGAGUACGUACGCAAGUAUG
rnacentral:rRNA from 1 species